rnacentral:rRNA from 1 species
CAGUCGCCGCGGGAAUACGAGGGGAGCUAGCGUUGUUCGGAAUUACUGGGCGUAAAGCGCGCGUAGGCGGCUUUUUAAGUCAGAGGUGAAAGCCCGGGGCUCAACCCCGGAAUUGCCUUUGAAACUGGAAAGCUAGAAUCUUGGAGAGGUCAGUGGAAUUCCGAGUGUAGAGGUGAAAUUCGUAGAUAUUCGGAAGAACGCCAGUGGCGAAGGCGACUGACUGGACAAGUAUUGACGCUGAGGUGCGAAAGCGUGGGGAGCAAACAGGAUUAGAUACCCCAGUAGUCCCUGUCUCUUUACA